GCUGGGAUAGUCCAGUUGGUACAGCACGAGACUCUUAAUCUCAGGUCAUGAGUUCGAGUCCCACAUUGGGCA